AACGAACGCUGGCGGCAGGCUUAACACAUGCAAGUCGAACGCCCCGCAAGGGGAGUGGCAGACGGGUGAGUAACACGUGGGAACGUGCCCUUCGCUUCGGGAUAGCCUCGGGAAACUGGGAGUAAUACCGAAUACGCCGUAUUGGGAAAGAUUUAUCGGCGAAGGAUCGGCCCGCGUUGGAUUAGCUAGUUGGCGGUGUAAUGGACCACCAAGGCUACGAUCCAUAGCUGGUCUGAGAGGACGACCAGCCACACUGGGACUGAGACACGGCCCAGACUCCUACGGGAGGCAGCAGUGGGGAAUCUUGGACAAUGGGCGCAAGCCUGAUCCAGCCAUGCCGCGUGAGUGAAGAAGGCCUUAGGGUUGUAAAACUCUUUCGCCGGUGAAGAUAAUGACGGUAACCGGGGAAGAAGCCCCGGCUAACUUCGUGCCAGCAGCCGCGGUAU
rnacentral:rRNA from 1 species